rnacentral:lncRNA from 1 species
CCGCCAUGUAAGAUGUGACUUGGUCCUGCUUGCCUUCCACCAUGAUUGUGAGGCCUUCCCAGCCAUGUGGAACUGUGUUGAUUCUAAGGAUACCCCCAAUAAACAUCUUUCGUGCUAAAGCCCAUUCCAGAAUUUACUUCCCAGCUAUCUUUGAUGUUCAUAUUGUCAGAGGUGGUGGCCGCUGAAACAGGCAAAGACAUGGAGCAUAUCUUGGGUCCAGGACCUUGGGAGUCCAGAGGAAGGUCUUUUUACCAUCAGCAUUCUCUACUGUGUUCAAUGACUGUCAGCCAAAGAUGGCCAGCUUUCCUUCAGAAAGAAAUGCAUUCAAAGAACCUACAUUCACAACAUAAAGAAAUAAAGCCUGCACCUACAGAUCUACACACAUGCCCAUGCACAUGCAGGAAGUGUUCAUCUAAGACUGGACCUUUUAGAAGAAAGCUGGCAUACAUUCGUGAAGGCAUGGGCUUCCAGGCAUGUCAUCUUCACUCACGAAGCACACACAAGACCGCCAAGCAUUAAGAUUCUCCUGUGGAGCCAGGCUACAAUCCUUUAAAUGAAGACAGACAGCUAGGUGGCUGCAGCCCAGCGCUACACCUCACCCCUCCCUCAGUGUCAUGCAGAAAAAAUGUAUUCAGAACUCAGAAGUGAAGUUGUGCAAAUCCAUCAUUGACACUAGCUUCAAGGUUACCUCGGGGGAGCAGAAUGUACCCCUGCCAGAGAGCUGGAUAGAUGAUGAUGGGGACAGAAAUUCUGGGGGAGUUGUAAAUGGCAGCCACUGCCUCUAUAGGAAACCCAAAGGGAACACAGCAGAAGAGGAGGUGGUGGAGGAGCCACUGCCCUCUCGAAGGGUUCAAUGUCAUUCUGCAGACACAACCAAAUAACUUUUUCUUCCCUGCUGCUCCUCCAUUUGAAAUGACAGCCCCGAGCUCGCUUUUUCCUUGAUUGUGUAACUCUGAUUACAGACAAGGCCAAGGCAAUCCCAGGGCAUUACUACAAAGCUAAGGGGUCCCCAAAGAACUAAAGAGUCAGCUCCACAAAAAUCCCGAUUCCUAGCAUGAAACUGAAAUAUGAAACCAAACGGGCAUAGAAAAGGUAUGUGCAUUCGAAUCACAUAGCAGUGACUGGAGUCCUGAGCUGUGUCUGAAGACUGUGAGAUCACGUUUGGAGCUGCUGAUUGGUUUUCAGUGAUGGCCCUGUUGCACAGUGCCGUGAGACUUAGCUCCAUGGCCAAAGACGAUGGUAUCCCCUAGGAGCCCUGUGAGGUUGCUGCUGUUCUCUUAAGACACCAGGUAGCCAUCUGAUCCUCCCUGAGCAAACUAACUGGGCAGACAGGUUUAUUAAACCUCUGUUGGUCCGACUUACAUGAAACAAGAGAGUUAUUUUGUUGUUGUUGUUUUGUUUUGUUUUAAAUUAAACCUGUCUUUG